rnacentral:rRNA from 1 species
AGUGAACGCUGGCGGUAGGCCUAACACAUGCAAGUCGAACGGCAGCACAGUAAGAGCUUGCUCUUACGGGUGGCGAGUGGCGGACGGGUGAGGAAUACAUCGGAAUCUACUUUUUCGUGGGGGAUAACGUAGGGAAACUUACGCUAAUACCGCAUACGACCUACGGGUGAAAGCAGGGGAUCUUCGGACCUUGCGCGAUUGAAUGAGCCGAUGUCGGAUUAGCUAGUUGGCGGGGUAAAGGCCCACCAAGGCGACGAUCCGUAGCUGGUCUGAGAGGAUGAUCAGCCACACUGGAACUGAGACACGGUCCAGACUCCUACGGGAGGCAGCAGUGGGGAAUAUUGGACAAUGGGCGCAAGCCUGAUCCAGCCAUUCCGCGUGGGUGAAGAAGGCCUUCGGGUUGUAAAGCCCUUUUGUUGGGAAAGAAAAGCAGCAGGUUAAUACCCCGCUGUUCUGACGGUACCCAAAGAAUAAGCACCGGCUAACUUCGUG